rnacentral:rRNA from 1 species
GAUGAACGCUAGCUACAGGCUUAACACAUGCAAGUCGAGGGGAAACGAUAGAGAAAGCUUGCUUUUUCUAGGCGUCGACCGGCGCACGGGUGAGUAACGCGUAUCCAACCUGCCCAUCACUUGGGGAUAACCUUGCGAAAGUAAGACUAAUACCCAAUGACGUCUCUAGAAGACAUCUGAAAGAGAUUAAAGAUUUAUCGGUGAUGGAUGGGGAUGCGUCUGAUUAGCUUGUUGGAGGGGUAACGGCCCACCAAGGCGACGAUCAGUAGGGGAUCUGAGAGGAAGGUCCCCCACAUUGGAACUGGGACACAGUCCAAGCGCCUACGGGAGGCAGCAGAGAGGAAGAGUGGUCAAUGGACGAGGGUCUGGACCAGCCAAGUAGCGUGCAGGAUGACGACCCUAUGUGUUGUAAACUGCUUUUAUAAGGGAAUAAAGUGAGUCUCGUGGGACUUUUUGCAUGUACCUUAUGAAUAAGGACCGGCUAAUUCCGUGCCAGCCGCCGCGGUAA